CCGGCGCACGGGUGAGUAACACGUAUGCAAUCCACCCGUAACAGGGGGAUAACCCGGAGAAAUCCGGACUAAUACCCCAUAAUAUGGGCGCUCCGCAUGAGAGCCCAUUAAAGAGAGCAAUUUUGGUUACAGACGAGCAUGCGCUCCAUUAGCCAGUUGGCGGGGUAACGGCCCACCAAAGCGACGAUGGAUAGGGGUUCUGAGAGGAAGGUCCCCCACAUUGGAACUGAGACACGGUCCAA
rnacentral:rRNA from 1 species